rnacentral:rRNA from 1 species
GAUGAACGCUGGCGGCGUGCCUAACACAUGCAAGUCGAGCGAACGGACGAGAAGCUUGCUUCUCUGAUGUUAGCGGCGGACGGGUGAGUAACACGUGGAUAACCUACCUAUAAGACUGGGAUAACUUCGGGAAACCGGAGCUAAUACCGGAUAAUAUUUUGAACCGCAUGGUUCAAAAGUGAAAGACGGUCUUGCUGUCACUUAUAGAUGGAUCCGCGCUGCAUUAGCUAGUUGGUAAGGUAACGGCUUACCAAGGCAACGAUGCAUAGCCGACCUGAGAGGGUGAUCGGCCACACUGGAACUGAGACACGGUCCAGACUCCUACGGGAGGCAGCAGUAGGGAAUCUUCCGCAAUGGGCGAAAGCCUGACGGAGCAACGCCGCGUGAGUGAUGAAGGUCUUCGGAUCGUAAAACUCUGUUAUUAGGGAAGAACAUAUGUGUAAGUAACUGUGCACAUCUUGACGGUACCUAAUCAGAAAGCCACGGCUAACUACGUGCCAGCAGCCGCGGUAAUACGUAGGUGGCAAGCGUUAUCCGGAAUUAUUGGGCGUAAAGCGCGCGUAGGCGGUUUUUUAAGUCUGAUGUGAAAGCCCACGGCUCAACCGUGGAGGGUCAUUGGAAACUGGAAAACUUGAGUGCAGAAGAGGAAAGUGGAAUUCCAUGUGUAGCGGUGAAAUGCGCAGAGAUAUGGAGGAACACCAGUGGCGAAGGCGACUUUCUGGUCUGUAACUGACGCUGAUGUGCGAAAGCGUGGGGAUCAAACAGGAUUAGAUACCCUGGUAGUCCACGCCGUAAACGAUGAGUGCUAAGUGUUAGGGGGUUUCCGCCCCUUAGUGCUGCAGCUAACGCAUUAAGCACUCCGCCUGGGGAGUACGACCGCAAGGUUGAAACUCAAAGGAAUUGACGGGGACCCGCACAAGCGGUGGAGCAUGUGGUUUAAUUCGAAGCAACGCGAAGAACCUUACCAAAUCUUGACAUCCUUUGACAACUCUAGAGAUAGAGCCUUCCCCUUCGGGGGACAAAGUGACAGGUGGUGCAUGGUUGUCGUCAGCUCGUGUCGUGAGAUGUUGGGUUAAGUCCCGCAACGAGCGCAACCCUUAAGCUUAGUUGCCAUCAUUAAGUUGGGCACUCUAAGUUGACUGCCGGUGACAAACCGGAGGAAGGUGGGGAUGACGUCAAAUCAUCAUGCCCCUUAUGAUUUGGGCUACACACGUGCUACAAUGGACAAUACAAAGGGCAGCGAAACCGCGAGGUCAAGCAAAUCCCAUAAAGUUGUUCUCAGUUCGGACUGUAGUCUGCAACUCGACUACAUGAAGCUGGAAUCGCUAGUAAUCGUAGAUCAGCAUGCUACGGUGAAUACGUUCCCGGGUCU